GGGGAUGACAGGCAUCGACGGGAAUUUUGCACUUUUACAAAUCGUGAGGGCCGACCAAUCGGUUAAAUGGAAAAAAUCAACUGAUAAUGAGCAAUCUGAAGCAGCUGAAGCUUUCGCGUAUCGUAAUAUGGCUUUUGCCACUUUACAUGCCUAAAGUGUAAGCCUCUGAUUAAGUUUUCCUUAGUUCAAUUUAGUCGUGAGGUUAACCAACUAAGGUACGGUUUUUGGAAGUUGCAAUUGGUCCAAAAACCCGACAAUUUCAAUUGACAUUUUGCUCUGAUUUGAAUAUUUACGCAGGCAAAAUAGAGUUAUAAAUAUUUUAUCCCUCACUAAAAAUUUGUUUAAGUGUGUUCUCGGACGCGGGUUCAAAUCCCGCCAU
rnacentral:tmRNA from 1 species